GACGCGAUGAUGAGUUUAGGAACUGGUGUUGGCAGUGGCGAUAGCAUGCUUGUUAUCUCCGUGAGCCUUUCUCACCAUUAAUACGACUUCUCCUUCCACUGAGCUCA